GACGAACGCUGGCGGCGUGCUUAACACAUGCAAGUCGAGCGGUAAGGCCCUUUCGGGGGUACACGAGCGGCGAACGGGUGAGUAACACGUGGGUGACCUGCCCUUAGCUUUGGGAUAAGCCUGGGAAACUGGGUCUAAUACCGGAUAUGACUCCAUAACGCAUGUUGUGGGGUGGAAAGCCUUGUGCGGCUAGGGAUGGGCCCGCGGCCUAUCAGCUUGUUGGUGGGGUGAUGGCCUACCAAGGCGACGACGGGUAGCCGGCCUGAGAGGGCGACCGGCCACACUGGGACUGAGACACGGCCCAGACUCCUACGGGAGGCAGCAGUGGGGAAUCUUGCGCAAUGGGCGAAAGCCUGACGCAGCGACGCCGCGUGGGGAGUGAC
rnacentral:rRNA from 1 species